CUUGGUCAUUUAGAGGAAGUAAAAGUCGUAACAAGGUUUCCGUAGGUGAACCUGCGGAAGGAUCAUUAGUGAUUAAUUAUUGAGUGUAAAAAACUCAUAAUCUUCUAUAUAAACCACUGUUUUAAAAUGUUUACUAGAAUGUCCAAGCAGUUAAGCUGUUGAAAUAUUAAAAGUUUAAUAAAACUUUCAGCAACGGAUCUCUUGGUUCAGGCAUCGAUGAAGAACGCAGCGAAAUGCGAUAAGUAAUGUGAAUUGCAGAUACAGUGAAUCAUCGAAUCUUUGAACGCAAAUGGCACUCUAUGGUAUUCCGUAGAGUACGUCUGUUUGAGCGUCGCGAACAUCUCCAUAAUUAGUUUUUUUUUAAAUUGAUUGUGGGUUUUGAGGUUGUCAUAUAAACAGUGACUCCCUUUAAAAUAAUUAGUGAUGACCUUAUGAAUGGGUUAAUACUGUGUGUUAUAAUGGAUUAUAUCCAUCACCAGUCAGAGAGUAAUCUCGCCUUAGUAAUUUGUAGUGAUUGCUUCUAACUGCCAAUUGGCAACAACCUGAUCAAAUCGACCUCAAAUCAGAUGGGAUUACCCGCUGAACUUAAGCAUAUCAAUAAGCGGGAGGA
rnacentral:rRNA from 1 species